UUGUGCUUAUAUAUCAUUUUUAUUUUUUAAUUGCUACGUUUUUAUCGCAAUAUUACAAUCACAGUUUGUAAACAGUAAUAUUUUGUCGGUAAUAAUAAAACUGAUGCAUGCUAUUUGAUCACAAUUAGCAAUCCAACAACUGCUAAUCAUGUAUAUUUAAAGAUAAACAUUUUCGUUCAACAGACAUAAGUAACUAAUCUGCAGAGGUAGAUUGAGUAAAAAUUUAAUUAUAUAAAAAGUUAGUUAAAGUUAAGCCUUAUAGUAAUAACUGCUUGAGUAAAAGUAAAAGUAUGCAAUGGAAAUACUGCUUAAGUAGUGAGUUUAUAAUUCGUGUUAGUGUGGUUUAUAAUAAUAAACUACAUGAAAAUGCUCAGAACUGCUUAUAAAAGGUAAAAUAGCACAUUUAAAGUAGGUGCUUUCAAAAUUGUUACUCAAGUCAAUGUAAUGCAGUAAGCAUGUUUCUACCCACCUCGGGAGAAAAAACAUUAAUAAUUUCAUACCUUAAAAUGCCAAGUUAUGUUAAAUAAGAGAUGUGCUGUAUAAAAAGUUUUAAGUUUAUAGAAUGAAUGCUAAAAAUGUUGUUUUUACAAUUGCUUUUUAGUAUCUAUCAAUCAAUAUACUUUGUUAAUUGUAUAUUAUUAUUAUUUAGCAGGAGCUUGUUUCUUUGAAGAGAGCGCAUACCCUUCAUGGAAAGUCAGGUAAUUAACACACAUUUUAUUUAGGGCAUGUCAAAACUUUUUAAAUCUUGAUAUGUUGUUUCUUUUGUUAUCCUUCUUUCAUAUAGUAACGUUACUGUGGAGUACAACCAAGUCGCAAGCAAAAACCUCAAGCAAGAAUUGUUCUCAUUCCUUGCUAAACAUUGUUUUUGAAGAUUUUGAAUGAAAGAAAAGUUUAAAAGCUCUCUUGAGUAUCUAAUAAACAUCACUGAUGUCACUGCUCGGUGGACGGUAGUACUCCGUGUUCUUGCUAUCCUUCUUGCGGAAGACACUACAGACUUCCUGAAAACAAACAUGGACUGUGAUGGUGACCCAUCUCAACUAUCAAUAGGAAUUCUCAGUCUGGUGCCGGAGGACAGACAUUUCUCCACAUGGUUUACAGCAAUUAUUUGGUAGGGUGUCACAGCCAUGGAUGGACUUGAGAAAGUAUCACAUGCCAUGUGUUUAGUUUUUGGACUGAUCAUUGUUUUAAAUAUGGAGUACCUCUUCACAGCUUAUUUUGAGUUUAUUCACAGGGUUUUUUUUUCCCUGGGGCACAAAUCACUAAAGUCAAAACUGCCAUCACUACAAAACAUACUAAUGUGAAGUAGUGUGUUUUGUGUGAAACAAGUCCGUGUUACUGUAGAUCUGUUGCAUUUUGGGGGUUUUAUUUUUCGUCAACCUGGAUACAAGUUCCAGAAAAACGCAACUUAAAUUGCUGCUACACUU